AGGUAAUAAUUCCUUGUGCUUGUGUUGGUAAAUGUUGCAUCUAUUAGAAGUUUUUAAUCUAUUUGGAACUUUAUACAUUAGAUAGAUAUGUUGAUUUGGGCUCUAAGCAAACAGCUCAUGAUUGGGAUUAAUAAAUUGCCAAUAUUUAUGUUUAUUAUGACUGAUGAAUGAGGUUGAACACAAAUGAUAGGCUUAAUGGAUGAACAUGAACAUUUCAUGAUUGGGCUUAAUAAAGUGCCCAUAUUUUUGUUUAUAAGGAUUAAUGAAUGAGUUUGAACACAAAUAAUAAGUUCAUCUAAUAAACAGAUGAGUGAGCUUGGCUCAAUUAUGUUGGUUAACAUGCUCGUUUUGAGUUCACUUAUGUUUGUUUGAAGUUCAAUAGAAGUUGGUCAUUAAUGAAUUUUAGAAUGCUAAAAUUCAUAAUUCUGAUGAUAAAUUUUGUUGAAAUUGGUUUUAGAAUGUAGUAUAUUACAAAAUUUUUAUAACAAUGGGUCAUUUGGCUAAAAGAGUAAAAUAUAGGACCAUGAUCAACUGAAAGAAGA
rnacentral:misc_RNA from 1 species